AUUGAACGCUGGCGGCAUGCUUUACACAUGCAAGUCGGACGAGUGGCGCACGGGUGAGUAACGCAUCGGAACGUACCGAGUAAUGGGGGAUAACUUUCCGAAAGUACAGCUAAUACCGCAUAAUAUGCUGGCGGCCGCUGUCUGAUUCGCGGGUUGGCGGGGUAAAGGCCCACCAAGGCGACGAUCAGUAGCGGGUCUGAGAGGAUGAUCCGCCAAACUGGGACUGAGACACGGCCCAGACUCCUACGGGAGGCAACAGUGGGGAAUUUUGGAAAAUGGGCGCAAGCCUGAUCCAGCCAUGCCGGGGGAGUGAAGAAGGGUUUCGGAUCGUAAAGCUCUGUUGUACGAGAAGCGGUAUCUUACCAGAAAGGGACGGCUAACUACGUGCCAGCAGCCGCGGUAAUAC
rnacentral:rRNA from 1 species